rnacentral:rRNA from 1 species
GUAGGGGGCGAGCGUUGUCCGGAUUUAUUGGGCGUAAAACGCUUGUAGGCGGCCACAUCGCGUCGGACGUGAAAUCUCCCGGCUCAACUGGGAGGGGUCGUGCGAUACGGAUGGGCUCGAGGCCGGUAGGGGGACGCGGAAUUCCCGGUGUAGUGGUGGAAUGCGUAGAUAUCGGGAGGAACACCAGUGGCGCAGGCGGCGUCCUGGACCGGCACUGACGCUGAGGAGCGAAAGCGUGGGGAGCGAUCCGGAUUAGAUACCCGGGUAGUCCACGCCGUAAACGGUGCGCACUAGGUGUCGGGGGUAUCGACCCCUCCGGUGCCGCAGCUAACGCAUUAAGUGCGCUGCCUGGGGAGUACGGCCGCAAGGCUAAA